GACGAACCGUGCGAACGUUGUUCGGAAUCACUGGGCUUAAAGGGUGCGUAGGCGGGGUGGCAAGUCUGUGGUGAAAUCCUCCGGCUCAACCGGAGAACUGCCGUGGAUACUGCCACUCUCGAGGGGUGUAGGGGCAUGUGGAACUCAGGGUGGAGCGGUGAAAUGCGUAGAUAUCCUGAGGAACGCCGGUGGCGAAAGCGACGUGCUGGACACCUACUGACGCUGAGGCACGAAAGCCAGGGGAGCGAACGGG
rnacentral:rRNA from 2 species